rnacentral:rRNA from 1 species
AACGCGAAGAACCUUACCUACCCUUGACAUCCUGCGAAUUGCGUUGAGAGGCGCGAGUGCCGAAAGGAGCGCAGAGACAGGUGCUGCAUGGCUGUCGUCAGCUCGUGUUGUGAGAUGUUGGGUUAAGUCCCGUAACGAGCGCAACCCUUGUCCUUAGUUGCCAUCAAGUGAAGUUGGGGACUCUAAGGAGACUGCCGGUGACGAAUCGGAGGAAGGAGGGGACGACGUCAAGUCAUCAUGGCCUUUAUGGGUAGGGCUACACACGUGCUACAAUGGGGUGUACAGAGGGUAGCAAAGCGGCGACGCGGAGCCAAUCCCAGAAAGCACCUCGUAGUCCGGAUUGGAGUCUGCAACUCGACUCCAUGAAGUUGGAAUCGCUAGUAAUCGCGAAUCAGCGAUGUCGCGGUGAAUACGUUCCCGGGCCUUGUACACACCGAGUAUA